GACGAACGCUGGCGGCGUGCUUAACACAUGCAAGUCGAACGGAAAGGCCCUGCUUUUGUGGGGUGCUCGAGUGGCGAACGGGUGAGUAACACGUGAGUAACCUGCCCUUGACCUUGGGAUAACUUCAGGAAACUGGGGCUAAUACCGGAUAGGAGCUCCUGCUGCAUGGUGGGGGUUGGAAAGUUUCGGCGGUUGGGGAUGGACUCGCGGCUUAUCAGCUUGUUGGUGGGGUAGUGGCUUACCAAGGCUUUGACGGGUAGCCGGCCUGAGAGGGUGACCGGCCACAUUGGGACUGAGAUACGGCCCAGACUCCUACGGGAGGCAGCAGUGGGGAAUAUUACACAAUGGGCGGAAGCCUGAUGCAGCAACGCCGCGUGCGGGAUGACGGCCUUCGGGUUGUAAACCGCUUUCGCCUGUGACGAAGCGUGAGUGACGGUAAUGGGUAAAGAAGCACCGGCUAACUACGUG
rnacentral:rRNA from 1 species